UAUAAGCGUAACAAUGAGUUUUCGUGUCCAAUUUUAGUCGUCCGUUUUAUGUGAAUCUUUUUUAUAAUUAGUAUUUUUUGUUGUUAUUAAUUUUUUAAAUAAGACAGUCGAUUAAAGUUGGAUAUGGAAACUCAUCGCUGUGCUUAUA
rfam:Oryza punctata chromosome 1, whole genome shotgun sequence.